rnacentral:rRNA from 1 species
AUCAUAACGAAGAGGUAUCGUAAUUGAAGAGGUUUGGAAAGACCCACCACAGAAGGUAAUAGUCCUGUAUGUUAAACGAGAAGACUUUAGAUAUGAUCCAGAGUACUACGGGACACGUGAAACCCUGUGGGAAGCAGGAGGGACCACCCUCCAAGGCUAAAUACUACCUAGUGACCGAUAGCGUAUAGUACCGUGAGGGAAAGGUGAAAAGAA